UUCGGUCGUGUCGGCACGGCCCCGGACGAGCGCGUCGUACCCGGUCAGGCGAAGACGGCGCAGU
rnacentral:ncRNA from 1 species